rnacentral:rRNA from 1 species
CUCUAUAAAAGGUGAUGCCUGCCCAAUGAUGUGGAAAUAAAGAAAGAAAUUUCUAUAAACCCCAUUCAAUGGCCGCGGUAUUCCUGACCGUGAUAAUGUAGCGAAAUCAAUCGUCACUUAAUUGCUGACCAGUAUGAAUGGUAAUACGAAUGUCCCCCUGUCUCGAAAGAAGACCCCGUGAAAUUGAAGAGGCCGUGCAUAUACGGCCUAAAACCUGUAAGACGAAAAGACCCUAUUGAGCUUUACUAUACAUUCUUCUUAUCCCUAAAGUUUUAUUCUAGCCGAAAACCACUUUAGUAUUGGAGAAUGAGGUAGUUUCGUUGGGGCGACGGCCUCUUAAAAAGUACCAGAGGCUAGCCAUGGUUUUUAUUUAAUGAAUUAAGCCUGACUGUUAGGCCUAUAAGCCGUACAGACACUAACGUGAGCCAUAGCUUUCCACAGAAAAGGUAACUUAUCUGUGCCAAAACAUAAAAGUUACCAUAGGGAUAACAGCGUAAUUUUGUCGAAGAGCUCUUAUCGAUGACAAAGAUUGCGACCUCGAUGUUGAAUUGCGGUCUCCUGGGGGUGUAGCCGCUCCC